rnacentral:rRNA from 1 species
CCUACGGGUGGCAGCAGUGAGGAAUAUUGGUCAAUGGACGAGAGUCUGAACCAGCCAAGUAGCGUGAAGGAUGACUGCCCUAUGGGUUGUAAACUUCUUUUAUAAAGGAAUAAAACGAGGCACGUGUGCCUUUUUGCAUGUACUUUAUGAAUAAGGAUCUGCUAACUCCGUGCCAGCAGCCGCGGUCAUACGGAGGAUCCGAGCGUUAUCCGGAUUGAUUGGGUUUAAAGGGAGCGUAGAUGGGUUGUUAAGUCAGUCGUGAAAGUUUGCGGCUCAACCGUAAAAUUGCAAUUGAUACUGGCAUUCUUGAGUACAGUUGAGGUAGGCGGAAUUCGUGGUGUAGCGGUGAAAUGCUUAGAUAUCACGAAGAACCCCGAUUGCGAAGGCAGCUUACUAAACUGUGACUGACAUUGAUGCUCGAAAGUGUGGGUAUCAAACAGGAUUAGACACCCCUGUAGUC